GAGACCUGUGAGGAACAUCUGACCUAGAGAAUUGUAAAAUAGUAAAUUUAUGUUGUUUAUGCCUCUAAGUUUCACAUAAUUUGCUACAGCAACAAUAGAAAACUAAUACACUGUAUGUCAGGAAUUGUUCUAGGUGCUUAUAUAUAUUAACUUAUUUGAUGCUUAUAAAAACUCUGUGAGGUAUGUAUGUUAUUAUCCCAUUUUUCUGAUGAGAAAACUGAGGCACAGAAAAUAUUUGAGCAGACACUUUACAGAAGACAGUGUCAAUAGGCAUAUGAAAAGAUGCUCAAUAUUAAUGGUCACCAGGGAAAUGCUACUUCAAAUAAUGAGAUACUCUACAUAUGCAUUAGAGAUUUUGAAAUUAAAAAGACAGUAUCAAGUAUUGGCAAGGCUGUUGAAGAAAUGGUGCUCUCACAUAUUAUUGGUGUGGGGGUAAUAUAAAAAUCACUAUGAAAACAUUUUCACAAAUUUUUAAAAAGGUAAACAUAUACUCAUUGUAAUACCCAGCAUGCACCUGUAGUCCCAGCUACUAAGGAAGUUGAAGCAGGAGGAUCACCUGAGCCCAGAAGUUCUGGGCCGAAGCGUGCUAUGCCGAUUGAGUAUCCAUACUAAGUUCAGCAUUAAUAUGGUGACCUCCUGGGAGUGGGUGGACCAUUAGAUUGCCUAAGGAGGGGUGAACCUACCCAGGUCAGAAACGGAGCAGGUCAAAAGUCUUGUGCUGAUCAGUAGUGGGAUUGCACCUAUGAAUAGCCAAGGCACUCUAGCCUGGGCAACAUAGUGAGACUUUGUCUUUAAAAAAGAAAAAAGAAAAACAUCCAGCAUUCUUACUCCUGGGUAUUUUCCAAAGAGAAAUAAAAACAUAUGUUCACACAAAGACCUGUAUACAAAAGUUCUGAGCAGCUUUAUUCACAAUAAUCCAAAAAGUCCAUCAACAUGUCAACAUACAAAUUUUGGUAUAUUCAUUAAAUUAAAUGCUUCUUAACAAUGAAAAAGGAAUACUGAAAUAGGAAAAAAAAAGUGGAUGAAUCUCAAAAACGUGGAUUCAGUGAAGCUGGGCAUGGUGGCUCACACCUGUAAUCCCAGCACUUUGGGAGGCCAAGGUGGGAGAAUCACUUGAGCCCAGGAGUUCAAGACCAGCCUGGGCAACAUAGAGAGACCCUGUCUCUAAAAGAAUACAAAAAUUAGCUAGGCAUGGUAGCAUGCACCUGCCAUCCCAGUUACUUCAGAGGCUGAGGCUGAGGAUUGCUUGAGCCCGGAGAUCGAGGCUGCAGUGAGCCAAGAUUGUGCCACUGCUGCACUCCAGCCUAGGUGACAGAGUAAGACCCUGUCUCCAAAAAAAAAAAAAGAAAAAAAAGCUAAGUGAAAGAAGUCAGACACAAGAGUAUUAUAUGCUGUUUAAUUCCAUUUAUGUAAUUAUGGUAUUACAUAAUUAGGUAGAAGAGACUAACCUAAUCAAUAGCAAUAGCAGAUAAAUGUUUGCCUGGUUUGAGGGAAAUUAACUGCAAAGGGGUACAAGGAAGCAUUUAGUGUGAUAGAAAUGUUACAAAGGUAUAAAAAUUUGUCAAAAGUCACAGAAAUGAACUCUAAAAAUGAGUACUUCUUACUACACAUAAGUUAUCUCUCAAUAAAAUUUAUUUUCAAAAAAUGUACCAAGUCACACAGCUAGAGUUAUAGGGCUGGGAUUUGAAACCAGGCAGUCCAACUCUAGUGUCUGUGCUCUCACCAGUAGAUAGCUUUCUAUCCAUGCUAUUUGGGCACUGUAACAACCCAAAUAAUUGUCCCUAAUUGUAAGGGUCAAAAUUCUUUGGCACUCCUUCCAUCGAGAUGUUCGGGUCUAAUGGCCGGGCACGGUGGCUCACGCCUGUAAUCCCA
rnacentral:lncRNA from 10 species